rnacentral:misc_RNA from 1 species
AAAAUUUAAGAUAGUCUCUUCAUCAUAUCAAAUCCAAAUAACUAAAAUCCCUACUUCUAUUCAUGUAUAUUCAAUGUUUUUUUUUAUUAUGUUUAAGUAUCCUCUCUUGAUAAAGGAUGAAAAGGUUGUUAUGUGUUUCAUGAGAUCUACUUGAAUUCCUUUCGAAGGCUCUAAUUUAUUCUACAACUUUGGGGGUCGAGGCCAUUUGUCCGCGCAAUCAGAAGGAUAAACAAGAACAGUACAAUAAAAGUAUAAGUACAAAUUUGAAAUUGGAACUGCUUUAAGAUGUUGGCAUGAUGUUAUGUGCUUGUUUUGUUAU